rnacentral:tRNA from 1 species
GGGGCUUUGGUGAACGUUUCACCACACAACUGGGUUUUACCAGGUCGCGACAAGUCACGGACCACCAUUCACCACCGCAUUUCCGCAGGUCAACCCAUCUUUAUUCCGGGUUCGAUUCCCGGCAGCUCCACCA